rnacentral:rRNA from 1 species
GACGAACGCUGGCGGCGCGCUUAACACAUGCAAGUCGAGCGAGAACCAGGGCUUCGGCCCUGGGGAAAGCGGCGAACGGGUGAGUAACACGUGAGUAACCUGUCCUCGGCACCGGGAUAGCCCGGGGAAACCCGGAUUAAUACCGGAUGGCCUUUCGAGUCCUCGGACUCGUCAGAAAAGGGAGCUUCGGCCUCCGGCCGAGGAGGGACUCGCGGCGGAUUAGCUUGUUGGUGAGGUAACGGCUCACCAAGGCGACGAUCCGUAGCUGGUCUGAGAGGACGAUCAGCCACACUGGGACUGAGACACGGCCCAGACUCCUACGGGAGGCAGCAGUGGGGAAUCUUGCGCAAUGGGCGAAAGCCUGACGCAGCGACGCCGCGU